UACGUAGGCAGCGAGCGUUGUUCGGAGUUACUGGGCGUAAAGGGUGUGUAGGCGGUUUUCUAAGUUUGGUGUGAAAUCUCCCGGCUCAACCGGGAGGGUGCGCCGAAAACUGGGAGACUAGAGUGCGGGAUGGGAGAGUAGAAUUCCUGGUGUAGCGGUGAAAUGCGUAGAUAUCAGGAGGAAUACCGGUGGUGCAGACGGCUCUCUGGACCGCAACUGACGCUGAGACACGAAAGCGUGGGUAGCAAAGCAGG
rnacentral:rRNA from 1 species